rnacentral:rRNA from 1 species
AGAUUGAACGCUGGCGGCAUGCCUAACACAUGCAAGUCGAACGGCAGCGCGGGUAGCAAUACCUAGCGGCGAGUGGCGGACGGGUGAGGAAUACAUAGGAAUCUACCCUGUCGUGGGGGAUAACGUAGGGAAACUUACGCUAAUACCGCAUACGACCGAGAGGUGAAAGCGGCGGACCGCAAGGCGUCGCGCGGCUGGAUGAGCCUAUGUCCGAUUAGCUAGUGGCGGGUAAGAGCCACCAAGGCGACGAUCGGUAGCUGGUCUGAGAGGAUGAUCAGCCACACUGGGACUGAGACACGGCCCAGACUCCUACGGGAGGCAGCAGUGGGAAUAUUGACAAUGGGCGCAAGCCUGAUCCAGCAAUGCCGCGUGUGUGAAGAAGGCCUUCGGUGUAAAGCACUUUGUUGGAAGAAAGCAUGGUAAUACCGUGUGUUCUGACGUACCUAAAGAAUAAGCACGCUAACUC